rnacentral:miRNA from 14 species
ACUUAAACGUGGUUGUCCUUGCU